rnacentral:rRNA from 1 species
CAGUCGCCACGGUAAUACGCAGGUGGCAAGCGUUGUCCGGAAUUAUUGGGCGUAAAGGGCUCGCAGGCGGUUUCUUAAGUCUGAUGUGAAAGCCCCCGGCUCAACCGGGGAGGGUCAUUGGAAACUGGGAAACUUGAGUGCAGAAGAGGAGAGUGGAAUUCCACGUGUAGCGGUGAAAUGCGUAGAGAUGUGGAGGAACACCAGUGGCGAAGGCGACUCUCUGGUCUGUAACUGACGCUGAGGAGCGAAAGCGUGGGGAGCGAACAGGAUUAGAUACCCCUGUAGUCCCUGUCUCUUAUAA